rnacentral:rRNA from 1 species
GACGAACGCUGGCGGCGUGCUUAACACAUGCAAGUCGAGCGGUAAGGCCCUUUCGGGGGUACACGAGCGGCGAACGGGUGAGUAACACGUGGGUGACCUGCCCUCAGCUCUGGGAUAAGCCUGGGAAACUGGGUCUAAUACCGGAUAUGACCUGCUGCUUCAUGGUGGUGGGGUGGAAAGUUUUUCGGCUGGGGAUGGGCCCGCGGCCUAUCAGCUUGUUGGGUGGGGUGAUGGCCUACCAAGGCGACGACGGGUAGCCGGCCUGAGAGGGCGACCGGCCACACUGGGACUGAGACACGGCCCAGACUCCUACGGGAGGCAGCAGUGGGGAAUAUUGCGCAAUGGGCGGAAGCCUGACGCAGCGACG